AUGUAUUUGUAAGCAAGCAUCAUGAAGGUUUCUGCAACUGGCCAACCAAUGUCUCUUUCAACUGGAACUCCCAGAUGGUAGGACCAAAAAGAGACAUUGUGGGUGAGCUGGCCCAGGCCAUCCGCAGCAAGACAGACCUCCAUUUUGGCCUGUACCACUCUAUGUUUGAGUGGUUCCACCCUCUGUAUCUACAAGAUGUUGCCAACAACCACACAACCACCAGGUUUCCAGUGG